AGUCACUGACAUUAGAUACCCCCGUAGUCCUAGCCGUAAACGAUACUCGCUAGGUGUCGGCCACGGUGCGACCGUUGUCGGUGCCGUAGGGAAGCCGUGAAGCGAGCCACCUGGGAAGUACGGCCGCAAGGCUGAAACUUAAAGGAAUUGGCGGGGAGCACCACAACGGGUGGAGCUUGCGGUUUAAUUGGAUUCAACGCCGGAAAUCUUACCGGGACCGACAGCAACAUGAAGGCCAGGCUGAAGACUUUGCCGGAUUAGCUG
rnacentral:rRNA from 1 species